rnacentral:rRNA from 1 species
GGAUUAGAUACCCUGGUAGUCCACGCAGUAAACGGUGAGAACUAGGUGUAGCGGGUAUUGACCCCUGCUGUGCCGCAGCUAACGCAUUAAGUUCUCCGCCUGGGGAGUACGAUCGCAAGAUUAAAACUCAAAGGAAUUGACGGGGGCCCGCACAAGCGGUGGAGCAUGUGGUUUAAUUCGACGCAACGCGAAGAACCUUACCUGGAUUUGACAUCCCGGGAAUCAAUUAGAAAUAAUUGAGUGCCCUUCGGGGAGCCUGGAGACAGGUGCUGCAUGGCUGUCGUCAGCUCGUGCCG